CGGGUCAGAGGCUGCGCGUCCUGGAGACCGGAUGUUCUGCUGCAGACGUGAGGACCGAGGCAGCGCUCCUGGGUCGGGUGCUACCGCCCGUUCAGAGCGGAAGCGAGGCUGCUCUCGGACCCGCUGCCGCCCCGUGCACGCAACGCCGCGGGAGCGUUAGGGACAGGCGGAGACGCGGUCUCCUCCUCAGCGGACGCAAAGCUGUGUGGACCCUGAAAGAGCCGGUCUUUGGAGAAGGAUCCCGAGCGGCCAAGGGGGUCUGAAUUCCGAAUGGAGCCGAGCAGGAUUUGCUGAGUCCAGGUUACACAUAAACCCUGUGUCUUCUGGAAAAAAACAAAAAAGCAAAACCGAGAGAUCCCAGGGGCUUUAGCUGGACUUUUUCUCCGCCUCCCAGACAAAGGAAUUCCUUGCAAGGGGACUUGUUCUCAACUACUCUAUCCAGGAAUGCAGUGGCCAUGAAGACUCCACAGAUGGAAAAUACAGAGUAUGGAGCCAAGAGUCUGGUGUGUGUUGAAUUCUUUCAGCAUCAGCCCACUUGAUUCUGGAGAGCAUUUACUGGAAGGGCCUGCAGCUGUGACUCCUUCUCCUGUCCUUUGAGAUGUCUUUGCACCUCCUGUAAUCCUCGAGUGUCUUUCUCCAGGACCCAGGAGCCAUGCCUUUGAAAUGGGAUCCUCAGGAAAGGUGGGCCCCUAUCUCCCAGUCUCAUGGGAGGGUAGAAUCCUGGCUUGGACAGUUGCCAGCUAGCAGACACAGCUGGCAUAAUGGCAUUUACUGACCAAGCCUCUGUCAUUCUUCACUUGAGCCCUUUCCCCUCCCAAUACCAUACCCUCCUUUAGAGUGCCCUUUCCCCAACUGCAGCAGUUACUGAAUAAAAUCUGUUUUCACUGCUUUAA